UUACUUCUUGUGGUUGUCCCAGAAGAGUUUUCCACUGACACUGCUAGAACAAGGCUCUCUUCUCUCAUUAGUGUCUUCAGGACUCCAAGAAAGCUGAGUCUGAGCAGCCCUUGCAUAUCAAGCAUGGGCUUGUCAAGUGCGCAUCAGCCACUGCAGGCUUGAGCGAGAUGUGUUUGGUGCAGCAAAAACCAGCAGUGCUUUCAGUGAUCCGUUUACAGCCUGGGAAAGAGCAGAGAACCAACAAAAGUGUUUGUUAAAUAAACCAAGAUAUCAGAAGUGCAGGCGUUAUGUUGGAAGGUCAUGUAGCAAAAGGCAGUGCAGAGUGGCGGGUGAGAGUGACCUUAACAAGCUUGGAUCAUCUCCUGGGUUGCGUUGAUAAGAACAUAGUAAUGGG